GGAUGCGAUCAUACCAGCCACUAAUUGCACCGGGAUCCCAUCAGAACAUCCGAAGUUAAGCGUGCUUGGGCGAGAUGUAAGUACUAGAUGGUGCCCCCUUGGGAAUCCUCGUGUUGCAUCCC
rnacentral:rRNA from 1 species